UACGAAGGGGGCUAGCGUUGCUCGGAAUCACUGGGCGUAAAGGGUGCGUAGGCGGGUCUUUAAGUCAGGGGUGAAAUCCUGGAGCUCAACUCCAGAACUGCCUUUGAUACUGAAGAUCUUGAGUUCGGGAGAGGUGAGUGGAACUGCGAGUGUAGAGGUGAAAUUCGUAGAUAUUCGCAAGAACACAAGUGGCGAAGGCGGCUCACUGGCCCGAUACUGACGCUGAUGCACGAAAGCGUGGGGAGCAAACAGG
rnacentral:rRNA from 1 species